UACGGGGGGGGCAAGCGUUGUUCGGAUUCACUGGGCGUAAAGGGUGCGUAGGUGGCCAGGUAAGUCUGACGUGAAAUCUCCGAGCCUAACUCGGAAACUGCAUCGGAUACUAUCUGGCUUGAGGGUUGGAGGGGGGACUGGAAUACUUGGUGUAGCAGUGAAAUGCGUAGAUAUCAAGAGGAACACCGGUGGCGAAGGCGGUGGUCUGGGCCGGCACUGACGCUGUAGAGCGAAAGCGUGGGGAGCGAACAGG
rnacentral:rRNA from 1 species